UACGGAGGGUGCAAGCGUUAUCCGGAAUCACUGGGUUUAAAGGGUGCGUAGGCGGUUGCGUAAGUCAGUUGUGAAAUUCCCCGGCUUAACCGGCGGGAGUGCGAUUGAUACUGCGUAACUUGAAUCAGGUUGAGGUAGGCGGAAUGCGACAUGUAGCGGUGAAAUGCAUAGAUAUGUCGUAGAACACCAAUUGCGAAGGCAGCUUGCUGGACCUGAAUUGACGCUGAGGCACGAAAGCGUGGGGAGCAAACAGG
rnacentral:rRNA from 1 species